AUUGAACGCUGGCGGCAUGCCUUACACAUGCAAGUCGAACGGCAGCACGGGGCAACCUGGUGGCGAGUGGUGAACGGGUGAGUAAUGCAUCGGAACGUACCUUUCAGUGGGGGAUAACGUAGCGAAAGUUACGCUAAUACCGCAUAUUCUGUGAGCAGGAAAGCAGGGGAUCGCAAGACCUUGCGCUGAUUGAGCGGCCGAUGUCAGAUUAGCUAGUUGGUGAGGUAAAGGCUCACCAAGGCGACGAUCUGUAGCGGGUCUGAGAGGAUGAUCCGCCACACUGGAACUGAGACACGGUCCAGACUCCUACGGGAGGCAGCAGUGGGGAAUUUUGGACAAUGGGGGCAACCCUGAUCCAGCCAUGCCGCGUGAGUGAAGAAGGCCUUCGGGUUGUAAAGCUCUUUCGGCUGGGAAGAAAUCGCAUCUCCUAAUACGGGGUGUGGAUGACGGUACCAGCAUAAGAAGCACCGGCUAACUACGUGCCAGCCGCCGCCGUAACAC
rnacentral:rRNA from 1 species